rnacentral:rRNA from 1 species
UACGGAGGAUCCGAGCGUUAUCCGGAUUUAUUGGGUUUAAAGGGUGCACAGGCGGGAGAUUAAGCCGGCGGUGAAAUUUUGCAGCUCAACUGUAAAAGUGCCUUCGAAACUGGUUUCCUUGAGUGUAGAUGAAGUAGGCGGAAUUUGUGGUGUAGCGGUGAAAUGCAUAGAUAUCACGAGGAACUCCGAUUGCGCAGGCAGCUUACUAAACUACUACUGACGCUCAGGCACGAAGGCGUGGGGAUCAAACAGGAUUAGAUACCCCCGUAGU